UGGGGAAUUUUGGACAAUGGGCGAAAGCCUGAUCCAGCCAUUCCGCGUGAGUGAAGAAGGCCUUCGGGUUGUAAAGCUCUUUCGCAAGGGAAGAAAACUUACCUUCUAACAAAGGGUGAGGCUGACGGUACCUUGAUAAGAAGCACCGGCUAACUACGUGCCAGCAGCCGCGGUAAUACGUAGGGUGCGAGCGUUAAUCGGAAUUACUGGGCGUAAAGCGUGCGCAGGCUGUUUUGUAAGUCAGAUGUGAAAUCCCCGAGCUCAACUUGGGAACUGCGUUUGAAACUACAAGACUAGAAUAUGUCAGAGGGGGGUAGAAUUCCACGUGUAGCAGUGAAAUGCGUAGAGAUGUGGAGGAAUACCAAUGGCGAAGGCAGCCCCCUGGGAUAAUAUUGACGCUCAUGCACGAAAGCGUGGGGAGCAAACAGGAUUAGAUACCCUGGUAGUCCACGCCCUAAACGAUGUCUACUAGUUGUUGGUGGAGUAAAAUCCAUGAGUAACGCAGCUAACGCGUGAAGUAGACCGCCUGGGGAGUACGGUCGCAAGAUUAA
rnacentral:rRNA from 1 species